rnacentral:rRNA from 1 species
CAAGGCAACGAGGCGUUGAGCCCGCGAGCACUAAUCGGCCAAGCCACACACUCAUAACUGAGACACGCAUUUGGAUCUGUGACCCAUCGAACGGGUCCAGGCGCUAACUGGACUACACAUACACACGGUCAAUCAACCGAUAUUGGCAUGAUCACGGUUCGAUUCCGUGAAUCGGCGUUAGGCGGCCACAGCGGCGAGGUUCCUCCCGUACCCAUCCCGAACACGGAAGAUAAGCUCGCCUGCGUAUCGGCAACUACUGGAGUGGGCGACCCUCUGGGAACGUCGAUUCGCCGCCCCAC